rnacentral:lncRNA from 1 species
CAGACAAAAAUGAACAAAUGUCAUCACAGUGGAAACUCUCAAACGCAGAGCACCCAUUGCACACCUGUGCAACAGAAGGCUCCAGUGUCAUCUGUUGAUUUUGUGGGCUGGCAGGAAUAACAUUUCAACCUUAGAAGAACGUUAAAAUACCAGGUCUUCCUUUGCCAGGAUGAUCUGUGGGGUCAAGCUGAUCCGAGCGCUGGACUGACACAUGGUUAUCCUGCAAAUCCUGGAUGGUGGGUGGCCUCGUGCCUCGGGCUGAUCAGAGAGGAAGUG